GCACUCUUCUCUCUCUUCUCUCUCUCUCUCUCUCUCUCUCUCUCUCUCUCUCUCUCUCUCUCUCUCUCUCUCUCUCUCCUACGACUCUCUCUCUCUUCGAUUUCAGGCUCGUUUUAUGCCAGAUCGACAAACUGAAGCCAUCACGAUGCUCCUGGCAAAGUUCUCUACAAGUCUGUCGGAGCGGAUCGUCAGGGAAACGAAGUUGGAUUUCAUCCCAAAUCCAAGUUUCAGGGUAUUGAUUGGGAAAGUUGGGAAUUAUCCCUAAGUUGAGGGUGUUAAGUUAAGAACCUUGUGGGUACGGGGAAGAUUUUCUUAGGGGCUUUUCAGGAAUCAGGAGCCCCUAAUAGGAGAGCGGGAAAAGCCUUGCUGAUCUAGAGCAGUUGUUUGCCCUCUUUGGAAGGGUAAGUUUUUGGUAGGGACAGUUAGGUUUUGUGGGGAUUGUCCCUAGAUUUCAUUUUUGAGAUGUAUAUACUGUGAGAUAGUAAUUGUAGUGACUCUGGUAUGUGUUAUGCACAUUAUGAUGAGAUGUAUAUGAUUUUAUACUUUCUGCUGCGUAGGCUUCUGCUGUAUGUUUUGUUAUAUCCCUGGUGCCCACGAGUUCAGGUGGAUUGUGACCUGCUAAGUUGGAAUGUAUGAUGUGAUGAUAAUUUAUUUAUAUAAAAAAAAAAUAUAUGUGAAAAAGGAGCAGGUCGUGACAGUUUUUCCUGCGCCCUCCACUUGCUCUCCGUCUCCAUCUCUCCUUCUCUCAAUUUCUCGGCAAGUAUGCGGCGGAUUGGAAAACGGAAAGUGUCGUUGGAUUCCUAGUUCUAUUGCCGACAUUUCUAUUGGAGUAGAUUUUUCAUGGGAAUGGUUUAGGCAUUGCUCCUCUGGAAAGGUCCUUCAGGUGAAAGAGCUUAGAAAGCUCAGGUGUGGGGUUUAGUUUUGUGAGUGCUUAAAGGAACAGAUAUAUGUUGAGUGUUAUGUUUAAUUUCUUUCCUAGAUAUGUAAUAUGGAGAAUUUGGUUACACUACUUUAUGGGUUUGUUUAUUUGUUUAUAGUACUCAGGUAUUUUAUUUGAAGU